ACAGAGCCUUAGUAGUAUAG
rnacentral:tRNA from 1 species